rnacentral:pre_miRNA from 1 species
CGCGACUGGUUGACAACGAGAGAGAGCACGCCGGUCCGCGGCCCAUGCCGGCUUCCAUGGUCCUGUACUAGCGUGCUCCUUCUUGUUGUCAACCUGGUUCGCA